rnacentral:lncRNA from 1 species
UUACUGCGAGUUUUACGACUAAUUCGUUUAGAAGCUCUUGUGAUAGUUGUAACAAGACUUAACCUGGUACCUUUCACAUUAAUUUAUGUAAUUAAAUGAGAAGAAGUACACAACUUCUUUUUCCCUUUAUGCUCAUAAGCUUUCCAAGUUCAGCUCCAGAAAGAGGUAGGAAAACUAAACUUGUUUACUUACUUUUCUAUAUCGUAACUUAAAGAAAUGAUAGUUGUAACAAUUCUAUAUCGUAACUUAAAGAAAUGAUAGAACUGACGUGACGAAAGUUAAACGAGUCUGAAACCUAAA